rnacentral:tRNA from 1 species
GGGCCUAUAGCUCAGCUGGUUAGAGCGUACCCCUGAUAAGGGUAAGGUCGGACGUUCGAAUCGUCCUAGGCCCA